rnacentral:rRNA from 1 species
GACGUAGGGCGCGAGCGUUGUCCGGAAUUAUUGGGCGUAAAGAGCUCGUAGGCGGCUUGUCGCGUCGACUGUGAAAACCUGCAGCUCAACUGUGGGCUUGCAGUCGAUACGGGCAGGCUAGAGUUCGGUAGGGGAGACUGGAAUUCCUGGUGUAGCGGUGAAAUGCGCAGAUAUCAGGAGGAACACCGGUGGCGAAGGCGGGUCUCUGGGCCGAUGACUGACGCUGAGGAGCGAAAGCGUGGGGGAGCGAACAGG